rnacentral:tRNA from 1 species
GUAGAUAUAGUUUAUUCUAAAACACCAGACUGUGAAUCUGGGGAUAGGAAAUUAAAUUCUUUGUCUACC